rnacentral:rRNA from 1 species
UACAGAGGUUGCAAACGUUGUUCGGAAUCACUGGGCAUAAAGCGCACGUAGGCGGUCUGUUAAGUCAGGUGUGAAAGCCCCCGGCUCAACCGGGGAACAGCAUCUGAUACUGGCAGACUCGAGGAUGGUAGGGGUGAGUGGAACUCCAGGUGGAGCGGUGAAAUGCGUAGAUAUCUGGAGGAACACCGGUGGCGAAAGCGGCUCACUGGACCAUAACUGACGCUGAGGUGCGAAAGCUAGGGUAGCAAACGGG